AUGAUUGACUAUGGCGGCCGCCUGAGACCGGCGGCCAGAGGGCUCGGCCGGGCUCUAUCCUGCAGCCCGCGGCAGGUGCUGCUGUCCCAUGAUUCACGAGGAACCUGGCCAUGGUGGCUGGUCCCCACCCCAGCUAUGGAUGAGGUCACCUUCAAAAGUGACACUGUGCUCUCAGAUGUCCACCUCUACACCCCGAACCACAGGCACCUCAUGGUGCGGCUGAAUGGCAUGGGGCAGCCCGUUUUCCUGUCCCAGCUCAAGCUUCUGUGGAACCGAGACUCUCAGACAGACUCAGGGGUUGACGGUGGCCGUCAUGCCAUGGGCCCCACAGAGGAAAUGCCUCCCUCUGGGCCGGGCAGUGCCAGACCCCCUCUGGGGAGUGGCUGCAGGAGUGACGCCACCAUCCAGGAGGGGGUGGGAGCUCGGCUGGACGAGGACGGAGAUUUGGACGUUGAGAGGAGACCACGGGCAGCUUCGGACCCUGAGCCAGUGGGGCCUCCGAGAGACAAGGUGUGGCGGGGCGCCCUGCUCCUGGCUGACUACAUCCUGUUCCAACGGGACCUCUUCCAGGGACGCACCGUGCUGGAGCUCGGGGCGGGCACGGGGCUGGCCAGCAUUAUGGCAGCCACCGUGGCACGUACCGUUUACUGCACAGAUGUCGGUACAGAUCUCUUGGCCAUGUGCCAGAGAAACAUUGCCCUCAACGGCCACCUGACUGCUGCUGGAGGUGGUGUAGUUAAGGUCAAAGAACUGGACUGGCUCAAAGACGACCUGUGCACAGACCCGGAGGUCCCCUUCAGCGGGUCGCAGGAGGACGUCUCCGACCUCUACAGGCACACCACCAUCCUGCUCGCAGCCGAAGUGUUUUACGAUGAUGACCUAACCGACGCUCUGUUUAAAACGCUGUCCCGCCUCGUUCACAAACUGAAAAACGCCUGCACGGCCAUUCUGUCUGUGGAGAAGAGGCUGAACUUCACGCUCAGACACCUGGACGUCACGUGUGAAGCCUACGACCACUUCCGCUCCUGGCUGCAGCGGCUGGAGAGGCUUGCGGACGGCCGGCUGCGCUUCGUGGUGGAGCCGGUUUCUGAGCAGCUGACAGAGGAGGAAUAA